rnacentral:tRNA from 1 species
GUCUUUCUAGUAUAAAUAAUAUGAGUGACUUCCAAUCACAUGAUUCUUGGUUAAAGCCCAAGGAAAGACA